GGUCGCUUAGCUCAGUUGGGAGAGCACCUGCCUUACAAGCAGGGGGUCACAGGUUCAAGUCCUGUAGCGACCACCA
rnacentral:tRNA from 1 species